rnacentral:misc_RNA from 1 species
GCUCCGUUGAUGAACCAGCGGAGGGAUCAUUACCGAGUUUACAACUCCCAAACCCAAUGUGAACCAUACCAAACUGUUGCCUCGGCGGGGUCACGCCCCGGGUGCGUCGCAGCCCCGGAACCAGGCGCCCGCCGGAGGGACCAACCAAACUCUUUCUGUAGUCCCCUCGCGGACGUUAUUUUUACAGCUCUGAGCAAAAAUUCAAAAUGAAUCAAAACUUUCAACAACGGAUCUCUUGGUUCUG